rnacentral:rRNA from 1 species
UACGGAGGAUGCGAGAGUUAUCCGGAUUUAUUGGGUUUAAAGGGUGCGCAGGCGGAAUGUCAAGUCAGCGGUAAAAUUUCGGGGCUCAACCCCGUCGUGCCGUUGAAACUGGGGAUCUUGAGUGGGCGAGAAGUAUGCGGAAUGUGUGGUGUAGCGGUGAAAUGCUUAGAUAUCACACAGAACACCGAUUGCGAAGGCAGCUUUCCAAGCUAUUACUGACGCUGAGGCACGAAAGCGUGGGGAGCGAACAGG